UGGGGAAUAUUGGACAAUGGGCGCAAGCCUGAUCCAGCAAUGCCGCGUGUGUGAAGAAGGCCUUCGGGUUGUAAAGCACUUUUAUCAGGAGCGAAACGCUGUCGGCUAAUACCCGGCGGAACUGACGGUACCUGAGGAAUAAGCACCGGCUAACUUCGUGCCAGCAGCCGCGGUAAUACGAAGGGUGCAAGCGUUAAUCGGAAUUACUGGGCGUAAAGCGUGCGUAGGCGGUUUCUUAAGUCUGCUGUGAAAUCCCCGGGCUCAACCUGGGAAUGGCAGUGGAUACUGGGAGGCUAGAGUGUGUCAGAGGGUGGUGGAAUUCCCGGUGUAGCGGUGAAAUGCGUAGAGAUCGGGAGGAACAUCAGUGGCGAAGGCGGCCACCUGGGACAACACUGACGCUGAGGCACGAAAGCGUGGGGAGCAAACAGGAUUAGAUACCCUGGUAGUCCACGCCCUAAAGCGAUGCGAACUGGAUGUUGGUCUCAACUCGGAGAUCAGUGUCGAAGCUAACGCGUUAAGUUCGCCGCCUGGGGAGUACGGUCGCAAGACUGAAACUCAAAGGAAUUGAC
rnacentral:rRNA from 1 species